GAUCAUUUAGUCUUUUAAAGAUAUUAAAUUGCAAAUUUAAAGAAACUUGAUCU
rnacentral:tRNA from 1 species